GUAGUUCCCCGGCUGGAUGCGGUGACUGGUGCCAGUGCUCAGGCGCCCGCUGCCCUUGACCUCCCGCCCCGCGAGCCCUAACUCAGCGCAGGAGGACCGGCUGCCGCCGCCGCCGCCGCCAGAGCCUUGGCUGCCCAGUUGCCAGUCCUACCACGGUCGGAGGUAACCUUCCUGGCUCCAGUCACAUGGCCAGAUAAGGUGGUGUGUGUGGGCAUGAAUUAUGUGGACCACUGCAAAGAACAGAACGUGCCCGUGCCCAAGGAGCCCAUCAUCUUCAGCAAGUUUGCCAGCUCCAUCGUGGGGCCCUAUGAUGAGGUGGUCCUCCCACCACAGAGCCAGGAGGUAGAUUGGGAAGUGGAGCUGGCCGUGGUCAUUGGAAAGAAAGGCAAGCACAUCAAGGUGAAGUGGAAAAGGUGUUGGUGUCACCCAUGAUCUAUCCUCCUGUAUGGCCAAAUCCCCUGCCCCCAUAGGCCACAGAUGCCAUGGCCCACGUGGCCGGCUUCACUGUGGCUCAUGACGUGAGUGCUCGUGACUGGCUAACAAGAUGCAAUGGGAAACAGUGGCUGCUGGGAAAAACCUUCGACACCUUCUGCCCUCUGGGCCCUGCCUUGGUGACCAAGGACAGUGUAGCAGAUCCACACAACUUAAAGAUCUGCUGUCGAGUGAAUGGGGAAGUGGUCCAGAGCAGCAACACCAACCAGAUGGUAUUCAAGACAGAGGACCUGAUAGCCUGGGUGUCCCAGUUUGUUACCUUUUACCCAGGGGAUGUCAUCCUGACUGGGACCCCCCCACCUCCACCCAGGUGUCGGUGUAUUCAGGAAACCUCCUGUCUUUCUCAAGGUCUCUGAAGGUCCAGACAGCACUGAUGGCGAGCUUUGGGUCCGCACACUCUGGAAAGAAGAGAGAAGUGAAGGCUCUAGGGGGCAGCAGCCACCAGCAAACACCACUGCCUGCAGGAGCCUGGGCUGACUGGUUGGGACUCACCGAAGAUCCCUUCUUCCUGGGCGGUGGCCUGCAGGAACUGGAACAGCUGCUCUGUGUAGCCCAACUCUGCAGAAGAGAGAAGACCUAGACCUGGCACCCAGCACAGACACAGCCUGCCUCGAGGACUGCAAGGGAACAAGGGCCUCACCAGUAUCGGGCAGCUGGCCCUGGCGGAGGAAGGCGGCAGCCUGUGCAAAGGCCUUGAGCAGCGGGCUGAGCAGGCGGCAGAGGAAAAGAAAGAAAUCUGGGCAGUGUGACUGCUGGCUGAGCUGGAGGGGACAGGCCGGGGUGAGUGCAGCUCCCCACCGCCUCCCUACCACCUCCCUCCAGGGGCAGCUUUUUGAAACACACCCUGAAGUACCGGCCGUCAGCCUCUCCGAAGUCAUCACUGUCACUAUCAGUAAAGUCCCCACUCGGUUUCCA
rnacentral:lncRNA from 1 species